UACGGAGGGUGCAAGCGUUAUCCGGAUUCACUGGGUUUAAAGGGUGCGUAGGAGGGCAGGUAAGUCAGUGGUGAAAUCUCCGAGCUUAACUUGGAACUGCCGUUGAUACUAUCUGUCUUGAAUACCGUGGAGGUGAGCGGAAUAUGUCAUGUAGCGGUGAAAUGCUUAGAUAUGACAUAGAACACCAAUUGCGAAGGCAGCUCACUACACGAGCAUUGACUCUGAGGCACGAAAGCGUGGGGAUCAAACAGGA
rnacentral:rRNA from 1 species